GCUGGGCAUGGUGGCUCAUGCCUGUAAUCCCAGUGGCUCAGGUGGCUGAGGCAGGAGGAUUGUGAGUUCAAAGCCAGCCUCAGCAAAAGCGGGGUGCUAAGCAACUCAGUGAGAAUCUGUCUCUA
rnacentral:sRNA from 1 species